rnacentral:lncRNA from 1 species
ACAUUACUUAAUAUCAAUAAGACCAUGCAGCAGCAAAAUAUUUCCAGUGCAAUUAGCCUAGACAUUCUACUAGAAGCUAUAAACUCUUAAUGUAAAUUUGGGAAAGCACAGAGUAUAAUCAAGAGAUAGACCUAUCAAGACAUAUUAAAAAUAGAUGAGACUAGGUUUACUCCCUUGUUGAAGAUGGUGAGGAGUGGUCUCUUCAUUUCGCCACUUGAGUCCUCACUUG